GGUCUAAUGCCACGUCGAUGGUAGUUAUAUGAUAGCGAUGAUCUUCGAUGCUAUGAUUGGACCAAAAUCAGUUUCUUGUGAACCUUCGAUAUAUGAUUGGUCUCCCCUCGUUGUGGUCCAUUGUUUCCUGGACGCUGAAAUUU